CCUGUCAAAUUGCAAGAUUGGCCCGUAAGACUCGUGUCGUAUCCACAGAAGUAUCGUGAUGGAAUACCUAUAUUAAGAGAAGGGGGGAGAGGGAAGCACAGUGAUGGAAUAGUUAAGGAUCGACCACUGGUCAGUAUUCACUCGGUUGUCUGCCGUGUUCUGUGUCCCCACCGUUCAUCACUUGUGCCUUCUAGACCGCUGGUCAGUUUUCGCUUGUGUUGACUGCUGGUCAGCUACUGCUUGUGUCGACUCUUCUUGUGAUGUGCUUGAUUUAUUCAAUGGUAAUAAACUGUAAUGGCUUGUAG